rnacentral:rRNA from 1 species
GACGAACGCUGGCGGCGUGCCUAAUACAUGCAAGUCGAGCGAGCAAAGUUAAAGGAAUACUUCGGUAGGAAUUUAAUAGCGCGAGCGGCGGAUGGGUGAGUAACACGUGGGCAACCUGCCCUUUAGCUUGGGAUACCACUUGGAAACAGGUGCUAAUACCAAAUAAGAAGUAAGAGCGCAUGCUCAAGCUAUGAAAGGCGGCUUUCGAGCUGUCACUAAAGGAUGGGCCCGCGGUGCAUUAGCUAGUUGGUAAGGUAACGGCUUACCAAGGCAAUGAUGCAUAGCCGAGUUGAGAGACUGAUCGGCCACAUUGGGACUGAGACACGGCCCAAACUCCUACGGGAGGCAGCAGUAGGGAAUCUUCCACAAUGGACGCAAGUCUGAUGGAGCAACGCCGCGUGAGUGAAGAAGGUUUUCGGAUCGUAAAGCUCUGUUGUUGGUGAAGAAGGACAUGGGUAGUAACUGAUCUAUGUUUGACGGUAAUCAACCAGAAAGUCACGGCUAACUACGUGCCAGCAGCCGCGGUAAUACGUAGGUGGCAAGCGUUGUCCGGAUUUAUUGGGCGUAAAGCGAACGCAGGCGGGAGAACAAGUCAGCUGUGAAAGCCCUCGGCUUAACCGAGGAACGGCAACUGAAACUGUUUUUCUUGAGUGCAGAAGAGGAGAGUGGAACUCCAUGUGUAGCGGUGAAAUGCGUAGAUAUAUGGAAGAACACCAGUGGCGAAGGCGGCUCUCUGGUCUGUAACUGACGCUGAGGUUCGAAAGCAUGGGUAGCGAACAGGAUUAGAUACCCUGGUAGUCCAUGCCGUAAACGAUGAGUGCUAAGUGUUGGGAGGUUUCCGCCUCUCAGUGCUGCAGCUAACGCAUUAAGCACUCCGCCUGGGGANUACGACCGCAAGGUUAAAACUCAAAGGAAUUGACGGGGGCCCGCACAAGCGGUGGAACAUGUGGUUUAAUUCGAAGCAACGCGGAGAACCUUACCAGGUCUUGACAUCUAGUGCCAACCUA